GGUCCCACUUCUGACGGGCACCACCCGGGCCCCGCCGCGGGAUAGGCGGCAGCGCAGGCCCCGCCCACACGCUGGGUGCGCUGUGAUUGGCUCCAGCUCUCCCGGGGUCACCGGCCGAACUUCCUUUUGGCCGCGGGGCCACGCAUCCGCGCUCGGAGACGAAGCUGUCGUGCGUGUGCGGCCGCCGCGUUCAGGUGUGCUGCUCGGCCGGCUGCGGCCCGAGGGCAGGUGGCCCGGUGUCGGCGCCUGGCCGACCGGGGCUACUGGCCGGGGCGGGCUGCGCGGGGCUGGGCCCGGGCCUCCCUGCCGCCUCCCAGACGCGCGGGCGGAGCUGGUCCGUGGAUCGCUGCGGGCCUUCUCCACGACAAAUAGCCAAGGAUUUCAGUGCUAGUUUGGCAGAGCUGAAAACUACAAGCAUUGAACAUGUGGACGACACAAAGUGAAGGAAAACAGUGUCUUCAGGACAUGAGUUUGGGCCUAAACUACUGACUUCACAUGUGAAAACUGAGCCCAACUGCUCUCAUCCAUCCUCCCACAAUGACCUCACCAUUUCCACACAUACAUUCACUUUCCUGUAAGCUCUCAGGAAUGAUUUUUGUCAUAAUUUUGUUUAGAUCAAUAUUUAAUAUUUUCAUCAUUCUUACUACAUAUGUACUUCCAUAGGUGUUUGAAUAAUACCUUAUGAUUCAUUUUUCUUUCUUUCAUAUGAUUGGUUUUCCUUUGUCCCUUAUGCAUUUGUCACUAGUCCAACCCUAAGCUCCUCUCCCAUUGUAUAAAUCUGUUCUCAUUAUAAUCAGAUCAGUCAACAAAUGUACAGUAUGUUCAGUAUGUACCAUCAACUCCAUCCUCCCAGCCUUCUCACUGACCUUGACUGGUCUGGUCCACUUUCUCUCCAGGUGCUGCCCACCCCCGUUGCUGGGACCCCCUUCACUCUCACCUCUCUUUAAUGAUGGACACUCUGUUUCCUGGAUUUCCUUGUCUAUUAUAUCUCUCUUCUUGGGUUACUUACUGGAUUUUGUUGAACAUUAUUUUCUAAUAGUUUCCUGGAAGAAGGUGCAAGGAUGUGAAGUUGUUAGGAAAUUGCAUGUCUGAGAUGUCUUUAUUCUACCCUGGCAUGUGAUUUAUUGUUUGAAUUACUGUAGAAUUCUAAGAUGGAAAUAAUUUUUCCUCAGAAUCUGGAAAACUCUGUAUAUUUUAGUUUUUUGCUUAAUCCUUUAAUUAAAAAAAGAAAAGCUGUUUUCCUUCUUGGAAGCUUGUUGGAUCUUCUCUUUUUUAUGCUCAGUGUUCUGUAAACUCACAAUGUUAUCCCUGGUAUGGCUUUAAUUUUAUCUGUUGUGCUGGGCAAUCAAUGUGCAUUUCAGUUGGGAUAUGCUGAUAUUUCAGGUCUGUGCAAUUUCUAAAAAAUAUUUUACUGAUUAUUCUCUUCUGUUUUUUUUUCUGUUUAUCCAGACUU